GGUCAAGCAAGAAAGAGCGCAGGGUGGAUGCCUUGGCACUAAGAGCCGAAGAAAGACGUGAUAAGCUGCGAAAAGCCGUGGGGAGCUGCACAUAAGCUGUGAUCCACGGAUUUCUGAAUGGGGAAACCCGGCCGGACAAACUCCGGUCAUCCAUAGCCCAAUCCAUAAGCUAUGGAAGGGAACCCGGUGAACUGAAACAUCUAAGUAGCCGGAGGAAGAGAAAGAAACAUCGAUUCCGUAAGUAG
rnacentral:ncRNA from 1 species